rnacentral:sRNA from 1 species
UGCAAGACAAACAAAAAACAAAAAACAUCUUUUCUUUUCUUUGCUUGUGUUUACAGUUCAACAAUCUGGGCAGCUCUUGCGCAUGGUUUACUCAAGACGAGGUACACAACAGAUUGGCCUACUAUUCUAGAUUAUCUUUCGACUCAUCGUUUCAGCCGGGUGGAAGAAUUUCUCACAAAAUACAUAGUCCAAGCUACAGUCUAUGCGAUUUGGAGAGAAAGAAAUAAUCGAAGACAUGGAGAGAAUCCCCAAACCGCGCAACGCAUUAUUGGAUGGGUGGAUAAACAAAUACGGAACAGAAUUUCAGCGAUUCGACUUGCAGGAGAUAGGCGGUACGAUGACGCCUUCCAAUUUUGGCUCCAAGCCAAGAUUUAGCUUAUGCCAUUGUUUUGAAACUUAUUUUUUUUCAGCUUUUUCUCAAAUAUUCGAUGCACU